rnacentral:misc_RNA from 1 species
CAUUACCGAACUGUCGACACGAGUUGUUGCUGGUCCUUGAAAGGGGUCACGUGCACGCUCUGUUUACACAUCCACUCACACCUGUGCACCCUUGUAGUUCUAUGGCCUGGGGACUCUGUCCUCUUGCCGUGGUCCUACGUUUUUACACACACACCGUAACAAAGUAUCAUGGAAUGUACGCCGCGUCUGACGCAAUACAAUACAACUUUCAGCAACGGAUCUCUUGGCUCUCGCAUCGAUGAAGAACGCAGCGAAAUGCGAUAAGUAAUGUGAAUUGCAGAAUUCAGUGAAUCAUCGAAUCUUUGAACGCACCUUGCGCCCUUUGGCUAUUCCGAAGGGCAUGCCUGUUUGAGUAUCAUGAACACCUCAACUCUCAUGGUUCGCCAUGAUGAGCUUGGACUUUGGGGGUCUUGCUGGCGUAACUGCCAGCUCCUCUCAAAUGAAUCAGCUUCCCAGUGUUUGGUGGCGUCACAGGUGUGAUAACUAUCUACGCUUGUGGUCGGUGGUAACAAGGUUUCGGUAGGGGAACCGGGGGAGGGAUCAUUACGGAACGGUGGCCAGAGGUGGUGGUUGUCCCUGGAAGGGGGUAAGGUGCACGUUCGGUUUCCCCUUCCAUUCCCCCUGGUCCACCUUGGUAGUUUUAUGCCUGGGGGAUUUGUUCUUCUUCCGGGGUUCUUAGGUUUUUCCCCCCCCCCGGUACCAAAGUUUCAUGAAAUGUAGGCGGGUUUUAAGCCAAUCCAAUCCAAUUUUCAGCAAGGGUUUUUUGGGUUUUGGCAUGGAGGAGGAAGGAAGGGAAAUGGGAAAAGUAAUGGAAAUGCCGGAAUUCAGGGAUUCUUGGAUUUUUGGAACCCCCCUUGCCCCCUUGGGUUAUUCGGAGGGCCAUCCCGGUUGGAGUUUCAGGACCCCUUAAAUUUCCAGGUUUGCCCAGGAGGGGUUUGGAUUUGGGGGUUUUGGCGGGGGUAAUUCCCAGCCCUUUUCAAAGGAUUCAGUUUCCCAGUGUUGGGGGGGGCCCCGGGUGGGAUAACAUUUUACGCUGGGGGCCUUCCAUCAGGUUACCUUCAGUAAUGGAGGUUCACUGGAGCUCACAGACGUCUCUCCUCAGGGAGGACAAGC